GUUGCGGCAUGCUUACCAUGCAGUCGAGCGGUGAAAGAGAGCUUGCUCUCUGGAUCAGUGGCGAACGGGUGAGUAACACGUGAGCAAUCUGCCCCUGACUCUGGGAUAAGCGCUGGAAACGGCGUCUAAUACCGGAUACGAGCUGCGAAGGCAUCUUCAGCAGCUGGAAAGAACUUCGGUCAGGGAUGAGCUCGCGGCCUAUCAGCUAGUUGGUGAGGUAAUGGCUCACCAAGGCGUCGACGGGUAGCCGGCCUGAGAGGGUGACCGGCCACACUGGGACUGAGACACGGCCCAGACUCCUACGGGAGGCAGCAGUGGGGAAUAUUGCACAAUGGGCGCAAGCCUGAUGCAGCAACGCCGCGUGAGGGACGACGGCCUUCGGGUUGUAAACCUCUUUUAGCAGGGAAGAAGCGAAAGUGACGGUACCUGCAGAAAAAGCACCGGCUAACUACGUGCCAGCAGCCGCGGUAAUACGUAGGGUGCAAGCGUUAUCCGGAAUUAUUGGGCGUAAAGAGCUCGUAGGCGGUUUGUCGCGUCUGCUGUGAAAACUGGGGGCUCAACCCCCAGCCUGCAGUGGGUACGGGCAGACUAGAGUGCGGUAGGGGAGAUUGGAAUUCCUGGUGUAGCGGUGGAAUGCGCAGAUAUCAGGAGGAACACCGAUGGCGAAGGCAGAUCUCUGGGCCGUAACUGACGCUGAGGAGCGAAAGGGUGGGGAGCAAACAGGCUUAGAUACCCUGGUAGUCCACCCCGUAAACGUUGGGAACUAGUUGUGGGGUCCAUUCCACGGAUUCCGUGACGCAGCUAACGCAUUAAGUUCCCCGCCUGGGGAGUACGGCCGCAAGGCUAAAACUCAAGGAAAAUUGAC
rnacentral:rRNA from 1 species